rnacentral:lncRNA from 1 species
ACCUGGCUGUGGAAGGUAAAAGAAAUUGCAACAAAAGGUCCUAACAAUCCAAUAGGAUUAUAGAGAAUUUAUAAUUAAAUAUUGAAAAUUAUAAUCAAAUAUUAAAUAAGCUCAAUUAAAUUUUAUUGAAGUUAUAAAAGAAACACAAGGAAAUCUUAAAGAAAUAUAAAAUAAUAUUAAAGAAAACUUAGACAAACCCUAACAAAAAUCUAAUAGAAUCUUAAAUUCUAACCAAAUCCUAAUCCUAAUCCUAAUCCAACCUUAAUCAAAUCCUAGACAAAUCCUAAAUCCUAAAUCAAACCUUAAUCAAAUCCUAAAUCCUAAACCAAAUCCUAACCAAAUCCUAAAUCCUAAAUCAAAUCUUAUCCAAAUCUUAAAUCCUAAAUCAAACCUUAAUCCAAAUCCUAAAUCCUAAAUCAAAUCCUAAUCCAAAUCCUAAACCCUAAACCAAAAUCUAAUCCA